rnacentral:rRNA from 1 species
UACGGGGGGAGCAAGCGUUGUUCGGAUUUACUGGGCGUAAAGGGCGCGUAGGCGGUCGUGACAAGUCACUUGUGAAAUCUCCGGGCUUAACUCGGAAAGGUCAACUGAUACUGCGGGGCUAGAGUGCGGAAGGGGCAACUGGAAUUCUCGGUGUAGCGGUGAAAUGCGUAGAUAUCGAGAGGAACACCUGCGGCGAAGGCGGGUUGCUGGGCCG